UCGGUAAGGGAUGGGCAUGCGUGCCAUUAGCUAGUUGGUAGUGUAACGGACUACCAAGGCCACGAUGGCUAGGGGGUCUGAGAGGAUGAUCCCCCACACUGGUACUGAGAUACGGACCAG
rnacentral:rRNA from 1 species